ncrna:unclassified sequences pemK RNA
AUAAUGAUACUUCUAACAGUUGAAGCCGGCUCAUCUUGAAAAGGGGCGGAGGUGAAAUUCCUAUGU